UUGGAAGGCUGUGUUGAAAAGGCAUCCAUUCAUAGAUUUCAAUUUGCUUUUGUUAGAUGUCCCACAAUGUUUCCAGUGUAGACCACUGUGCAUUAUUUCUCAUCUUGAGGUUGCUUCAGUUGUGCAGGAAGCAAAAUCCAAAGUUCAUUCCGUGUGAGGAAGGGCUGUGGUUGCUGAUUUACAGUGAACAGUAAGAAAACGGAGAUGGACAUGAGCAUUUUAAGCAAGCCCAUCCCUUAAAAAUUUUUCCGUCUUUGGAUGAAUAAGAGGAAGAAGUAUCACAGAAUAUUUGAUUGCUGAGAAUUCACUUGUAUUUUAUGCUAUAAAUUGAUAUUGCAUCUCAUCAAAUAAUGUUUCUGCAUUGAGAAAUUCAGGCUGACGUAUCACAUUACCUGACUUCAGACUACAGACUGGAAGCUGAAGAAGCCAAACACCCAGAAAUGCCAACAGGCAGAUUACUUUGAAAAUAAGUCCCUUGAAUAUAUGUCAGCUGUGAUGGAUAAAGAGUAAUUCCAUGAAAAGGUGACCUUCUAAGUGCCAAUAUUUUCUGUGGCAGAAGAACAACAAUAUACAUUUUGUCUACUCUGGGACUGGUUGAUUUAUAUUGAUGAGUGGUAAUCUGAUAUUUUGAGCCACAAAUUAUAUAAAUAGAUGGAUAGAUUGGUUUUUAUAUUUUGCUAUUAUUUUAUGUAUUAUGUCAUGUUUAUUUGUUAGAAUUUAAAAAUAGCAUACCAAAUGUUUUAAUUCUUAUCAUUAAGGCUCUUAUAAAAAUAACACUAACUUUAAAUGCAGUGUAAACUUCUGCUCAAAUAUAACACAGUGGGGAAUGAGAGAAAUACUACAUACCCUUGUGAGGGGUUUUCUUUUCCUUGCUCUAAAGUGUACCACUCACAUGUACUGGAAAUUUGCAUGUAGCUCUUCCUGUUUCUUGAUUUUUGAAAACUCCCUCCCUCGUAGGAUUCCAGUGGUUUACUCUUUGCCCAGGGAAUCUAAGGAUUUGUCAAUUUGUCAUUCCACCCACCCUUUCUACUCUGGUGGUACUUUUCUAUAAUUAAAAAAAAUCAUAUGCAGAUACAAUUGAACAAUUGGGAAUAUAAAGACUGUGGCAAAUCAUUAAGUAUUUUAAUGAAUCACAAAUCAUUUCUUAUUCUAAAGAUAAUAAAACUUAAUUUUCAUACCCAACUCCUCAAUUAAUUCUUUAUUGUUUACACGAACUCUUUCAAUGAGAAACUACAUAGAUUGAUUAGUAACACUAUUUUCUUGAGGUUGAUAAAUAUUUCUGAGUUGCAUAUUUUUCCUCUUGAUCUGUCUAAUCACUGUGGUGAGUAACUUUUGUAUGUUUACAUUAAUCAUAACAAAAUCCAAUAUACUGUACAUCUGUGAGGAAGGAGGUGUUCUUCCCGUCUUAUUCUAUGCAUAUGUCACACCUUAGAAUAAAACGGUGCCCAUCCUUCAAAAUUGCAUGGAGUGUUUCUACUAUUCUCCAUUGUAUCAUUUAGAAAUGCUUCUCCUAUGCAUUUAACAGAUUGCUCAACAAAUGAUGGCUCAAGGCAGAUGGUUUAAAUUUUUUAAGUGACGUGAGGUUGGAGACUGAUGACUGUCAUUUUUUUUAUUAGUUAAGUAGCUCAACAAUUUCAGAGGCAGUAUGUUUUUCAUUGUCUUGUCCUUAAAUUAACUUUCCGAAAUUGAUGAAACUCACAUAAAAUUGCUCAGGUCCACGAAGCAGAAGUUGAUGUCAAAUAAAUACUUCCUCCACACACUUCUCUUUUUCAUGGAAGGGACAUCUGUUUUUUACAUUAUUCUGAGCUGACUUCCUCCUGCAUUAGCAAUAGUCAAUUGUUUUUGUUUUAAUUUCUAAAUUCUGAUCUUCCUAAAUCAUCUUUUUUCAAAUGUGGAUGAACUUCCUAGGACAGAAAUCAUUGAUUAAAAUUGAUACACCUUUGUUUAUUUCUUUUUCAGCCUGUUCUUGAUUACUUAAUGCUAAUUAUUGCUCCUAUCCCCCCCAAAAUUUAUUACUAAUCCACACAAAUUAUACUCUGCAACCAUUUCAUGAUGGUUUCUAUUUGACAAAGUCAAGCAUUGAUAAUCCACUGAUUAGCUUAUAUUUCUGUGUGUUGAUGUAGUGAUUGAUUAUUGAAUUAAUAUUCUAUGCUUGAAGUGGUUAUGAUCUUUAUUCAUUUAUCAUAUUUAAAUAUUUCAUUGUCAAGUAAAAUUACAUAAAAUCAAGAUGUACAAUGUGAUGAUUUGCUAUACAUAUAUAUUGUGUACUGAUUACACAGUCAAAUUAAUUAACAUAUCCAUCACCACUCUUAGUUUCCUCUUUUCUUUUUUGAGUGUUUAUGUGUAUGUAGCAAAGAUACUUAAAAUGUGCUUUCUUAUCAAAUUCAGGUAAACAAUACAGUAUUAUUAAUUAUAGAAAUCAUAGAGCCCCAGAACAUGUACAUCUUAUAACUGAUCUCUCUGCUAUUUCUCUUCUUUCAAUCUGACACCUGCCAAAGUGGAGCUUUGCUCUAUGUUGUCUCAGGAUGACAGCAACAAAGGCAAAAAUGACAUUAAGGGACAAUAUAGGGUAGUUGUUGAGAGCAUGAAAUCUGGAUUUGAUUACCUGGCUUUGAAACCUAUUUGUACUACCUAAUACAUUGGUGAAUUCUGACAAUUUAUUUACCCUUUCUAAACCUUUAUUUUUAUCAUCUGAAAAAUGGAACUUUUAGUAAAACUUAGCUCACAGAACUAUUGUGAUGGCUAAAUUAAGACAUAGAGAAUGCCAUUUGUUGUUGGUGUUCUAUUUUCCCUUUUUUCUGUUCUUUUUAUUGUGGACUUAAAAACUUUCUUUGUUUAUUAGAGUUGCUAUAACAAAUUACCAUAAAAUGGGUGGUUCCUAAACAAUAGAAAUUUACUUAAUACAAUUCUAGAGGCUGGGAAGUCCAAGAUCAAGGUGCCAGUAGAUUUGGUGUCUAGUAAGGUCUUCCUCUCUGGAUCAUAGAUGGUGUCUUCUCCCUGUGUCUUCAUAUAGUGGAAGGAGGUAAGAAGUUCCCUGAGUCCUCUCUCACAAGGACACUAAUCUCAUUCAUGAGAAUCUACUCUCAUGAUCUCGUUUCUCCCAAAGGUCCUACCUUCUAAUACCAUCACCUUGGGGGUUAGGAUUUCAACAUAUACAUUUGGGAAGAAUACAACAUUCAGAACAACUCUUUUUGUUGUGGUGGUGGUGGUUGUUAUUUUAGCGUUUGUUUUAGGGCAUAGAUAUUUUACUUGUAAUAGUUUACUUUCAAGUGUAAUUAUAUCCCUUCACAUAUAAAAUAAGAACUUUACAGUAUUUAACCACUCCUGCCAUCUCCUUUAUAACAGCUUUGUUGUAUAUUUUUAUUACUCUUAAACAAAUAAUUAUCUUUCACAUAGAUUUAAAUUAUUGAAAUCACUAUGUAGUCACUUCUGGUGCUGUUCAUUCUUUUGUCUAGAAUCACAUUUCAAUCUGGUAUUUUUUUCCCUUCUGAUUGAUGGGCUUCAUUUAUCAUUUCUUUUAGUGCAAGUUUAAUCAUGAAGGGUUCUUUCAGUGUUGAUAUGUCUGAAAUAACUUUAUUUCACAUUCCUUUUCAAAAUAUGUAUUCCCUGGGUAAAGAAUCCUAGGUGACAGUUAUUCUGUUUCAGUGUUUUGAUGCUGUUGCUCUGCUGUAUCUUGACUUGCAAUGUUUUUGAGGAGAAGCUAAAUGAACAAUGAUGUUACAUGAAAUAAAAUGUUAUUAUUUUUCUUAUUCCUCUGUAUACAAAGUGUUUGUGUUUUGACUGCUUAAGGUUUUUAUUUAUCACUUGCUGUGUGAAAUUGUGUUUGUUUUUAUUUUGUUUUGUUUUGUUUUCUCUCCACUUUUGUUUGGGGUUCAGGGCUACAUGUGCUGGUUUGUUACAUGGGUAAUUUGAGUAUCACUGAAGUUUGGUAUACAAGUGAUCCCAUCACCCAGGUAGUGAACAUAGCACCCAAUAUGUAGCUUUUCAACCCUUGCACCUUGCUCUCUCUUCUCCUCUAGUGUACCCCAGUGCCCAGUGUCUAUCAUUCCCACCCAUCUUUAUGUCUAUUUGAACACAAUCUUUAGUUCUCACUUAUAAGUGACAACAUGUAUUAUUUGAUUUCCUGUUCCUGUGUUAAUAUGCUUAGAAUAAUGGCCUUCAGCUGCAUCCACAUUACUGCAAAAGACAUGAUUUUCUUCUUUUUAUGGCUAUACAAUAUUCCACAUAUGUAUAGAAUAUUUCAUAUAGUAUUCCAUAUAUAUUGUAUUAGCCAUGUAGUAUUCCACAUUGUAA
rnacentral:lncRNA from 1 species